CGAAGGGGGCUAGCGUUGUUCGGAAUUACUGGGCGUAAAGGGCGCGUAGGCGGCUUCAACAGUCGGGCGUGAAAUGCCUGGGCUUAACCCAGGAACUGCGUUCGAAACUGCGAGGCUAGAGUGUGGGAGAGGCUGGUGGAAUUCCCAGUGUAGAGGUGAAAUUCGUAGAUAUUGGGAAGAACACCGGUGGCGAAGGCGGCCAACUGGACCACAACUGACGCUGAGGCGCGGAAGCGUGGGGAGCAAACAGGAUUAGAUACCCUGGUAGUCCACGCCGUAAACUAUGUGUGCUUGACGCUGGUGAGCCUAGCUUGCCGGUGUCGCAGCUAACGCGGUAAGCACACCGCCUGGGGAGUACGGUCGCAAGAUUAA
rnacentral:rRNA from 1 species